rnacentral:rRNA from 1 species
UACAGAGGGUGCAAGCGUUGUUCGGAAUUAUUGGGCGUAAAGCGCGUGUAGGCGGCUUUGCAAGUCGGGUGUGAAAUCCCUCAGCUCAACUGAGGAAGUGCGCCCGAAACUGCAGAGCUUGAGUACCGGAGAGGAUGGCGGAAUUCCCCAAGUAGAGGUGAAAUUCGUAGAUAUGGGGAGGAACACCGGUGGCGAAGGCGGCGAUCUGGGUAGAUACUGACGCUGAGGUGCGAAAGCGUGGGGAGCAAACAGG